CACGUGACUGCUAUCGAGGUGCAUCAUGGGGAAUUGGCGUUUAACGACAUGCUCACUUUACUUGGAUGUUUUCUAAUCGUCUUCUUUAGAAUAUGCUUUCAAGGUCUGUGAAGCCAAACUUGAUGCUGGGAAUUUAUUUUUGUCAGUGGAGUCAAAUGGUUGAAGCAGAAUUUGCCCGUCUUACAUCUGUUGACCUGAAAGGGUUCCUUUUU